rnacentral:rRNA from 1 species
UUGGCGACCGGCGCACGGGUGAGUAACGCGUAUGCAACCUGCCCGAUACCGGGGUAUAGCCCAUGGAAACGUGGAUUAACACCCCAUAGUACUUUUAUCCUGCAUGGGAUGUGAGUUAAAUGUUCAAGGUAUCGGAUGGGCAUGCGUCCUAUUAGUUAGUUGGCGGGGUAACAGCCCACCAAGACGAUGAUAGGUAGGGGUUCUGAGAGGAAGGUCCCCCACAUUGGAACUGAGACACGGUCCAA